UCAACUCAUAAUAUUUCUUAUUAAACGAAAACAGGAAACAUCGAUGACAACGGUAUGAUCAUAGGUUAAUCAAACCUCACAAGUCAUAACUCGAACAUAUGUUUAUAAUCAUUCGUCCCUUUCGAUUUUAAUUCACAUACAAGGAUAUUAUUUCUCUAUUGGUUAGUGAAGUUCAUGCGUAUCUGGGAUAAGCCUAAUCUCAUCCGCUUUAAGAAAAUUCAAGUGUUUUGGACUUUUCUAAUAUUGCCCACAGAAACCACAGACUGAAAAACAAGAACCACAAAAUACUGCAAUCUUUAUAUUACUAAAGCACAAGUCACUGCAUCACCAAUUACAUGGUGAUAUGUGUCAAAGUAAAACAAAAAUUAACGUAAAAAGCAAAAAAACAAAAAAAUAGAAAGUAGUGAAAAAAAAGUAAAAAGCUUCAAAACCUAAUUCUAAAAAUUCUAAAUUUUCUCAUCCAAAAAUAACCAGGAUCCCACGGUUUCUAAAACUUUCGUCUCCUCUAUCUCACGAUAACUGUAAUUCAUGUAUAACUCCCAAUCAUGUCACGAUCUCAAACAGUUUCAACUCCUUCAUAACUCUUUAUUUGCUCUUCCUUUCUUUCUCCUCUUAUAUCCAUUCAUGCACAUCAAAGCAGCAAAACAAACACACGUAUUUAUAAAUUUUCAUCAUCUUCAUCGCCUCUCUGACUCUCUCUACACCUCUCCUCUCAUGGCUGUCGAUCUCACCAGUCACCAUCUACUUCUCUCUUUUCCUCAAAUCUUCUCCAACAGGUUAAUAACGCUCUCUAUUCGAUAUGAUGAUUAUUUAUUUUUUUUAGUCUGAUUCUUUGGAGUUCUCUUUGUGGAUUUUCUACUAAAUCUUUUUAUUUUACUGUUUCUGCAGAGAAUUAUGAUGAGUUACAACACCACCAUGGAACUAGAACUGUCAAUUGGCCGUCCACAAUAUCCAUUUAAUUUAGCGGACAUAAUUGGACUGGUUGUAAUGGACAUUGGGCCAAAAAGUGUCCACGCCCAAAUUGGACCAUGUCCAGAUGGUCUUUCCGCGGGCCGUCCAUAUUAUUUUGUUGACUUUUUAUUUGAUAUGUUGACAUUUGUUUCUCUUACUAAUAAAUUUAAUUUUUUUAAUUUACUAAAUGUUUAUUUGAUCUUUUAACUACUACAAAAUGAUAAUUCAAUGUUUUUCUUAAUUUACAUGUUGAAAAUAUUUGAGUUUUUAUUAAUUUACAUGUUGAAAAUAAA
rnacentral:lncRNA from 1 species